AUGUCCUCCCCCACCGCACCCCUAUCCUCGCCUCUUUCCUUCCCUGCCUGCUGCCCUCCCUACGGCAGCUCCUCUGCUUCGGCCCGGCCCUCCAUGUAUGUGCCGCCGCGCCCCCACUCACCCCCGUCGUCGCGGCCACAGGGCCUCGCCUCGCCCGCCCCGCCCAAUGCCGACGCUGAUUCCGGCACCACGCACCCACGGCAUGACGCCACGCCUCGCUCGCCUUCGUCGAGGCCGUGCGAUGCAGCCCAAGCACGACCUGUCCUAUAUGGCCGAGCAAGAUCGAGGACGACUGCCGAUAAUGUUCUCCUCGUGUGCAAGCUCCGCACUGCACUGAAGCAUCCGACACAUGAAAUGAGAGAGGAGGGACAGAUGAGGGUUGCGGCUACUGAGCAGGCUGCUGGUUCAGUUGGAUUGAGACUUAUUCCUUUUAAUGAUCUGAGAAAUAUAUUUGGAUCAGGGAAGCAUGAAGCACAAGCAAUCAUCUCAGAUAUCGAAUCUCAAGCAUACAGAAAUAGGCUUGCAAAAUUCUUUAGUACUGAUUUAGUUGUUGCUCCUAACAAAGCCUCCAAAAUCUCUGCGAAGAGUUAUAGUAUGAUCCUGAACUUGCGAGCAAGAUGCAUAAAGAAAAAGCUUAUCAAGACUAUUGAUAGUGCUUCUCUACUGCUCGAUACCACCAUUGAACUGAAGGAGCCAGGGUGCAGGCGUUCCUCGAGAUAUUUCCAGUGGCCCCGCAGCCGAAGAAGCCGAAGUGGGUGUGAUUGGGCAUGGGAAAAUGCCCUUUGGAACAUGGUGUCAAACGUUCCCGUCCUUGGUCAUGGUGGCAAGAAUGAAGGUGGAGGGGAUGGAGGGGGUGGUGAGAAGCCAUGGUGGGGAGAGAUGCGGCGGCUAGGCCGUGGCGGGGAGAGUAGGCCGGGGGAAUGA
rnacentral:rRNA from 1 species